AAAUGCGAUAAGUAAUGUGAAUUGCAGAAUUCAGUGAAUCAUCGAAUCUUUGAACGCACAUUGCGCCCGCCAGUAUUCUGGCGGGCAUGCCUGUUCGAGCGUCAUUUCAACCCUCAAGCCCCCGGGUUUGGUGUUGGGGAUCGGGCUGCGGUUCUACCGCGUCCCGGCCCCGAAAUCUAGUGGCGGUCUCGCUGCAGCCUCCAUUGCGUAGUAGCUAACACCUCGCAACUGGAACGCGGCGCGGCCAAGCCGUUAAACCCCCAACUUCUGAAUGUUGACCUCGGAUCAGGUAGGAAUAUCCGCUGAACUUAAGC
rnacentral:misc_RNA from 1 species